rnacentral:rRNA from 1 species
GACGAACGCUGGCGGCGUGCUUAACACAUGCAAGUCGAACGAAGUGGCGAACGGGUGAGUAAUACGUGAGUAACCUGCCCUCCUUUUUGGGAUAAGCCUUGGAAACGGGGUCCAAUACCGAAUAAAGGGGGAUGGGCUCGCGGCCUAUCAGCUUGUUGGUGGGUUGAUGGCCUACCAAGGCGGUGACGGGUAGCCGGCCUGAGAGGGUGACCGGCCACAUUGGGACGGAGAUACAGCCGUGACUACUACGGGAGGCGGCAGUAGGGGAUAUUGCACAAUGGGCGAAAGCCUGAUGCAGCGACGCAGCGUGGGGGAUGAAGGCUUUCAGGUUGUAAGCCUCUAUCGCUAUCGAGCGGGUAGGUGGAGAAGAAGCGCCGGCUAACUACGUGCCAGCAGCCGCGGUAAUUC